rnacentral:rRNA from 1 species
GUGCACCAGUCGCGAAUCUUCGGCAAUGGGGGAAACCCUGACCGAGCGACGCCGCGUGUGGGAUGAAGGCCCUUGGGUUGUAAACCACUGUCAGAGGGGAUGAAAUGCCGGAAAGUUAUCUCUCCGGUUUGACAUAGCCUCAGAGGAAGCACGGGCUAAGUUCGUGCCAGCAGCCGCGGUAAGACGAACUGUGCAAACGUUAUUCGGAAUCACUGGGCUUGAAGAGUGCGUAGGCGGUUUCGUAAGUAGGGUGUGAAAGCCCCCGGCUCAACCGGGGAAUUGCGUCCUAAACUGCGAGGCUGGAGUGAGGUAGGGGUGUGUGGAACUUCCAGUGGAGCGGUGAAAUGUGUUGAUAUUGGAAGGAACGCCGGUGGCGAAAGCGACGCACUGGACCUUGUCUGACGCUGAGGCACGAAAGCCAGGGGAGCAAACGGGAUUAGAUACCCCCGUAGU